GACGUAGGGCGCAAGCGUUGUCCGGAUUUAUUGGGCGUAAAGAGCUCGUAGGCGGCCUGUCGCGUCGACCGUGAAAACCCGCAGCUCAACUGCGGGCUUGCGGUCGAUACGGGCAGGCUGGAGUUCGGUAGGGGAGACUGGGAUUCCUGGUGUAGCGGUGAAAUGCGCAGAUAUCAGGAGGAACACCGGUGGUGAAGGCGGGUCUCUGGGCCGAUACUGACGCUGAGGAGCGAAAGCGUGGGGAGCGAACAGG
rnacentral:rRNA from 1 species